UAAUUGAAGAGUUUGAUCCUGGCUCAGAUUGAACGCUGGCGGCAUGCCUAACACAUGCAAGUCGAACGAGAACGUCCUCUUCGGAGGGCUAUUAAAGUGGCGGACGGGUGAGUAAUGCUUGGGAAUCUACCCAACAGUGGGGAAUAACCCGAGGAAACUCGGGCUAAUACCGCAUACGUUCCACGGAAGAAAGGGGGCCUCUUCAUGAAUGCUCUCGCUGAUGGAUGAGCCCAAGUCGGAUUAGCUGGUUCGUGAGGUAACGGCUCACGAAGGCAACGAUCCGUAGCUGGUCUGAGAGGAUGAUCAGCCACACUGGGACUGAGACACGGCCCAGACUCCUACGGGAGGCAGCAGUGGGGAAUAUUGGACAAUGGGCGAAAGCCUGAUCCAGCAAUGCCGCGUGUGUGCCGAAGGCCUUAGGGUUGUAAAGCACUUUCGCCCGCGAGGAUGAUGACGGUAGCGGGAGAAGAAGCCCCGGCUAACUCCGUGCCAGCAGCCGCGGUAAUACGGAGGGGGCGAGCGUUGUUCGGAAUUACUGGGCGUAAAGGG
rnacentral:rRNA from 1 species